CCUCUACCCCCCCCCCCCCCCCCGCCCCGCCGCCCCAAACUCCUUCCUCAGGACCGUGGGAUGCUGGCGAGCCCUGGCGAGAGUUGCCGGUCUCCAUUUCCAAGCGGGGAGCCGCCGGGAGCGGCCCACUCUGUUCUCCAGCCUUAUUACAUGGGGUUUUUGUCUCUCCAAGUCAUUCCUCAGCAUCGCCUUGAAUGGCAUCUACUGCACAUAACUUUUUCAGCCCACAAGGCUGAAACACUUCCUGUGACUGAAAUGGCUCCAACAGAGCUACUUUCUAGAAGACAUUCUCCCUGAUUUCUUGUGGUGCCUGUAAGAUAUCUGGCAAUGUAGGGAUGAGGUGACCAAAUUUGAAGACAGUAUUCAAAGUGAGGAUGUGCCACUGAUUUAUAUAAUGGCAUUAUAAUAUUUUCUGUAUUAUUCUCUAAAACUCUUUUCUUCGUACAAACCCCAUAAGAUUCUUUUUAAUUCUUUGAACUAUAGUGCCUUUUAACAUCUGUAGUUUACUCUGAUCAGAUUUUGACAAAGGAAUAAAAGGCUCCAUUUUUCACAUAGAAUUUUAUUUAUUGUUUGAACUUUAGAGGAUAAAUUGGUUAACUUACAAUUUAAAAUUCUUGGCAAUGUAGACCAUUGGGCAAGGAUUUCAUUAUUAGUCCUUCUGUACUUUCUAGUAAGAUAGUGCAAGGCUGAAAGUUGGUGUACAAGGUCUUGGUUCAAAAGACUUGGCUUUCAUACUAUAAACACAGCCAAAGACUUAUUUGGAGCUGCGAGAUUGCCCAAAGAUGUUAGACAUGUUAUUCUUCUGUACCCCCUUCCUGAUGCAGGAUUCUGAGGCUGUGCGCUUACACUCUGUCCAGGCAGUGCCAUGCAUGCAUGCAAGCAAUAACUGAGCACUGCUGUCUCCUGUUUAAUGUACCUCAUACCUCCACACCAGGUCAGGGGAAGACCCCUAUUGAAAACGAGGUGCUUGAUGACUGCAGAGUGUGAGGAUCUUGCUGUCAUGUCACAGCUGGGCAUGAUGCCUUCAUCAAGGUAUUAGAAAAGGCUCAAGGAAAACAGCUACAUCCAUUCUACUGCCUAAGACACUUCCCGCAGCUACCGGCUUGCCUUAGAGUUACCAAUCCAAGUGCUGACCCUGCCUGACCCUACUUAUCUUGUAAAAGCUGACAAGAUCACAGCCUGAAGCAGUAUAGCCACAGGCUCAAUACUGGCUACCAAAAUGUCUGUUUAGUGUUUUCAGGAAACACUGCUCUUAAGAUUUACAAUACCAGCUGCUAGAAAUAUAGACAACACCAAAACACAGCCCUGACCCCUGAAUGUUCAGCCUCACUUAGACAGAAAUUUGUGCCUCUCAAGGGGCCAACACUGAGUUGCCACAAAAUAGUUAUUCCCUACCUUCAGGUGAGCUGGAAUUGAAGCAUUUUAUGAAUGCAGAUACUGGGGAGAAAUAUUUGAAGAUACAGUCUUGAGUUCAGAAUUCAUUGUUAGCUCCUUUCAUCUGUUGCAUUACUACUUUUACACUAGAAAGAGCUCUGCCAUUUUUGUGUAAUGCCUUUUAUUUAUUUAUUUAUUGGUUUAAUAUAGAAAAUUGUCUUAAUUCUUCCAUGACCAAAGCAAUUUUUCAUCAGAAGUUAUUUUAGGAUGAACUGUAAGUUUCUUCCCUACCAAAUAUUUUAACUCUUCUGUAUGAAAACAAACACAUAUUUGUUUUCCCGAUUAUCUUAAAUGAUAAACACAGAUUUAAAUACACAAGAAAUAUUAAGGGACAAAUCUGGUUUAGCUGUUUGUACAUUCAUACACAGUAUAAAUUCAUAGCUCUUGCAGGGUGGGGUUUUGUUGUUGUUGGGCUUUGUUUUUGUUUUUUUAAGAAAACCAAAGACAUGGAAAAGACACUGAGGUCUUAUUGCUCCUAUCGGAAACUUUUGCUGACUACAGCAAGAGUUGGAUUGGGCCCAGAGAAACCAAAUACACACAAGGAACAAUGAGUUGGCCAUACAAGCAAGGAAAAUCACAGAUAACGGAUGCACACAAAUUAGCAAUGUACCUUUUAGGUCAUCCAGUACAGCUUGCUGACACCGUGAGGCAUAUGGCAUAUUUUUGGUUGUUUUCUGUGCCUAGAUUAAAUGUCCUAAGUGAGGCCAUGUCCCCAGGGAGAGAUUGUGCUGUCUAGUGUAUCUUGUUAGAAGUGUCUUUUUUUUUUUUUUUUUUUUUUUCCCCUUUCUCCACAUCCUAGUUAUGCUCCUUUGCAACCCCCCUUAUUUUCCUUCAUGGAUGCUAUUUACCUCCAGUGUCUUUAGAUUACAAUGAUGUUGCAUUUAGUUAACAUUAAGUCAGCCCACACAUAUUUAGCUCAUUUAAUUUUCUCUGAUAAAUCACUCCUUUCAGUCCCCUGGUUAUUCUUCAUCUCCUCUUGUCCCAUUCCUGCCUGUCAAUAUCUUUUGUGGUUAUGAGAUUUUAAAGAUGUGAUGUAUUUCUCUUAACUAAUGACAGACCCGGUAUAGAUCUGAGCACCCUCAAUCUCUUCUCGAUGAAAAACACUCCUGAUGCGUCCAGGGGAAACAUUGUUUUUUUGAGCAGACAUACAGAUUAAAGAGGAAAAAAACAGUGCCAUUCAGACACCUGCCUCUGGCCUUGAUGUACUUAAGUGCAGAAACCGGGCCAAAAAAGACUCAAAAAUAAAUCAAGUCAGGAUGUGUACUAACUUUCUGUGGGUACCACCUCACCUUUGAAAAGGAAUCUUGUGUUACUGUCAGCAGAACCAGCCAUACCUUCAGUGCUUCCUCCUAGAGAGAUAUUGAUUGUGGUCUACUGCAUGCUCUCACACAGUCUCAGUCCACUUCACCAUCUUUCUGCUAUCUCAUGAAGUCACAUACCAACCAGCUGUUGUCUAAAAUGGUGGUGAAGAUAAUGCAAGGAUUUUACUUUUAGCUGAUGUUAAGCUGAAAAAUAAAAUGCAUUCCAGCUUGGUUCAUA